CAAGAAUGUUUUUCAUGAUCAAGAACGAAAGUCAGAGGUUGGAAGGCGAUCAGAUACCGCCCUAGUUCUGACCAUAAACGAUGCCAACCAGCGAUCCGCUGAGUUACUCAAAAUGACUCGGCGGGCAGCUUCCGGGAAACCAAAGUAUUUGGGUUCCGGGGGAAGUAUGGUUGCAAAGCUGAAACUUAAAGGAAUUGACGGAAGGGCACCACCAGGAGUGGAGCCUGCGGCUUAAUUUGACUCAACACGGGAAAACUUACCCGGCCCGGACACUGGGAGGAUUGACAGAUUGAGAGCUCUUUCUUGAUUCGGUGGAUGGUGGUGCAUGGCCGUUCUUAGUUGGUGGAGCGAUUUGUCUGGUUAAUUCCGAUAACGAACGAGACUCUAGCCUAUUAAAUAGGUGCGGGGUUCCCAGCACCUUACAACCUUCUUAGAGGGACAAGCGGCUCCUAGCCGCACGAAACAGAGCAAUAACAGGUCUGUGAUGCCCUUAGAUGUCCGGGGCCGCACGCGCGCUACACUGAAGGAAGCAGCGUGUCUUUAUCCCUGUCUGAAAAGACUGGGUAACCCGUGGAACUUCUUUCGUGAUUGGGAUAGGGGCUUGCAAUUGUUCCCCUUGAACGAGGAAUUCCCAGUAAGCGCGAGUCAUAAGCUCGCGCCAUUAGUUAUAACCCCUUUAACACGCCAGUAGUCAUAACAUCGUGGAUCAUGCCAGUAGUAGUUAUUCGGUCGAUCCUUCCAGAAGUCGUAACGCCUCGUCCGCCUUAACAAGUAAUAACGUGGUCAUCCCUAUAACUAGUAAGACCGGUCUCAGAGUCUG
rnacentral:rRNA from 1 species